rnacentral:tRNA from 1 species
GGUCCAGUGGAACAACGGCAGUUCGUCACUUUCCGGUUAAUAGUUCAUCCCCGAACCAAUUAUUCAUAGGUGUAGGUUGCAGGUUCGAGUCCUGCCUGGAUCG